UUCCCUCUCUCAUUCCACAGGAGCAGGAGUAGUCCCAGGGAGUCUUGGGCAGUUUUCCACCAUCUCUAUCCUUGUGGAGAAUCACAACACAUGUGCAAAGAUGAUGUGUGAAUUCAUGAGGCACUCCAUGGCAUCUGUGGACAUGUGUGUCAAGGCAACCAAUUGCAGGAGUUGCAUGUUGUGAGAUACAGAUACAAUGCAUUCCCUUGAGGCACAGAGUACAAAACCAAUGGGUUUGCUCUGAAUGCAUCAGUCCAGAGAGAUGUCUAGAGGAGAAUGAAGGCAGGGAGUUGUGAACAUCUGAAGCUGCUGUCUUCAGGUGGCCUUUGGGUCCACAGAGCUGGAACAGCGCGUUCAUGAUUUCUCCAUCUAUCUAUUUCUGUUUGGAUGAUAUGCUAAUGCAGAAGAUCUGUUUCCCAUGUCCUGCAACUUUUCUAUUACAGCUUGCUGUUCGCUAUGUGUUUUAUUUGGCUAGACUUUCCCAAAAUAUAGCAUACAUAUAUUUGUACAAAAGAUACAUCAAAGUGGUAUGUUAAUACUGUGCAAGGAUAUAAAUAUCUUCUCCUCCUGUCAUCACUAUUUCUACUGACAGUAGUAGCUAAUUUAAAUAUGUUUGGAAAUUACAUUUGGAACUGUUACAGUUCCAAUUUUUCCCAACUUUCUCAAAAUAUGUUUGGGAAUCAC
rnacentral:lncRNA from 1 species